UAUUAAUUUGCCACUAAAAUAAUAUUUAGGUAUUAAGUUAGUAAAUUCUACUUCUUUAUGUUUGAAGUAUAAUUUUUAAUUUGGUUAUUUUAGAUAGACUUCUCUUCUUUUCAGUUGUUACUAUUAUCUUUUAAAUUUAGGCUGGCAGUGUUCAUUGGUAGGAUACAUACUUAACAUGCAUGAGGCCCUGGGUUCAAUCCUGUACACCAAAGAAAAAAUUUACAAUUAGAUACUAUACAGAUAAACCCCCACUUAGAAUGGUUCAAUGUAGAACCAUUACUUCAUAAUGAUCUAAUAUCCCUAUGCAUUCAGUAGAACUUGUACUUCCUGGUCUUUUACUAGGCUAGUGAUACAUGGUAGAGUACUCUUAUAUGCAGUGAGCCACAGCUCCUAGUCCACCAUACAAAACAAGAGACAUUUCACUACACUGUGUUGCUGAGCUUGUUUGUAGGUUAAGUUUAUUAAAUGUAUUUUCAACUUAAUGAUGUUUUCAAUUUCUGAUGAGUUUAUCAGAGUAAUACCCAGCUAUAAGUAGUUGGGAAUCUGUGUAAGAAAAUGAUAUGUGCAAAAUAAUAGACCUCUUUAUAAAGUGAGUUCAGCUGGAUCCAUGUUCAUG
rnacentral:lncRNA from 1 species